AAAUGGCUUACUCCUUGUUCUCUUAUAAAUAGGCAGACAGGAAGCUGUUUUCCCAUCCAGGAGGAACAAGGCCUUGGGACUGUGCAGUGCCGUGUGGAAGGCGAUUACAUUGGUUCCCAGAAUGUUAGUUUCUCAGUAUUUA